GAAAACUCAAAUCAAAUACUCCUUAUCUCAUGGAUCAACUUAUUGCUGAUUUCGUUUCUAGGAUGGGUUUGGCUCUGCCUGUACUUUUAUUCUUGUAGCCGUUAGGUCUGGCCAAAUGAUCCAUCAAAUAAAUAGUAUUAAUAUGGAAAUAAUCCUGACUGAUGUAGCGCGAGAUGCGCUUCAAGAAAAAAUCGUGUCCCAACUCUCAAUUCUGUUGAGAGUAUAUAGGGAUACUAAUACUAGUGAGAGUGUGACCUUACCUUUAUCCGGAGUAAAUCUCCAAGAAGUCGCCGCUCGUAGUUUUUUUAACAACGAGAGCAUUCCAUGGUUUUUUCAUCUAUUUAGACCUUGUCAAUCAGGGCACGAAAAAAAACCACUUUGCCCACAAGCUCUGGAGUUAGUGCUUUCGUUCAGUUCAUAAGGUAGACUUUUUUUUUCUAAAGCGGUAUUCCUCCUUGCCUCUAAUCCUCAAAUCUAAUAUGAUUACUCGGCUGUUCGCCCAACUGGUAUCGUUAUCAAUUGUAACUUAUUGGAAUGACGCUAUUGUUGCGACAAACUUUUCCUGGCUCUUCAUAACUUUCUUUGUUAUGACUUUCACCUUUCGUACCUUCUCGCGCUACUUCAAAAAACCGAUCAUUUGGACUUUCUAUUUUUUUUUAUGUUUAAUAGCCUUUCUCCUUCUUUGGGCAGCCCGAAUCCAUAUAAAUAUCCUUUUCUCAUUUGCUUUUGGAGAUGUUUAUAGCUUCUUCAUGGCAGGGGUGUUCUUGUUUUAUGGUUUCGGGGAAUUGCUGCCCAUCGGAUCAGAUUCCGAUGUUGGUGAGGCAAGUUGGGUCGUAAACCCUGCUACAGGGGCGAGCGGUAGUGGGGGGAACGGCUGGACUGAGUCUGCUGCAAAUGAUCCGGCAAGGGAAGUUUCCCUCGCCCCCUUUCCUCUGCAACUUACACAUCCCGUGCCCUUUCCUGCCGAACCUGGCUCUCCGGACCCGGUUUCUCCCCCUCCCCCCAUAGCCUCGUUCUACUCCCGAAUAGAAAGGGCUGAGUCCUUACACGCCGGAAAUAUAGAAUUGGCGGAGGAUCUACAACGGAUCCAGGAAAUGGAACGUAACCUGGAGAACGAGAGGUCUCCCUACCGUGGGCGGGAACUAGCCGCCCGCAUCGAUUGGGAGGUGCGCGAGCUGGAGGGAAAAGUGGCGCGCAAUCGCGCCUGGGAUAUGGUACGAGAUGCUCAACUCGACAUAUGGAGGCAGGGGCUUGAUCAGGAAUUAGUAAGGCAACAGGAGAAUGAGUCCCGCCUCGAAGAAAGAAGGUUUCAGUCUCAUUCAACCAACUCUCUUUUUGAAGCAGAUAGUUCACGAGAUAAUUGAGUAAGUUAAGAUAGAUGUAACAAUUUGAACCAAAGGCCUUUUUAGUGAUUAGUCUGCUAGUUUCUUUGAUCUUAGUCGGUGUAAAUUAUUCCUUUUUUUUUUCUAAAGCGGUAUUCCUCCUUGCCUCUUAAUUAAAAAAUGGAAUUAUGGAAUUAUCUCCUAGAGCUGCGGAACUAACGAAUCUAUUCGAAAGUCGAAUUAGGAACUUUUACGCGAAUUUUCAAGUGGAUGAGAUCGGUCGAGUGGUCUCAGUUGGAGAUGGGAUUGCACAAGUUUAUGGAUUGAACGAGAUUCAAGCUGGGGAAAUGGUUCUUUUUGCCAACGGUGUGAAAGGAAUGGCCUUGAAUCUUGAGAAUGAGAAUGUCGGGAUUGUUGUCUUUGGUGGUGAUACCGCUAUAAAAGAAGGAGAUCUUGUCAAGCGCACUGGAUCUAUUGUGGAUGUUCCCGCGGGAAAGGCUAUGCUAGGGCGUGUGGUCGACGCGAUGGGAGUACCUAUUGAUGGAAAAGGGGCUCUAAGCGAUCACGAGCAAAGACGUGUCGAAGUGAAAGCCCCUGGGAUUCUUGAACGUAAAUCAGUGCACGAGCCUAUGCAAACAGGGUUAAAAGCGGUAGAUAGCCUGGUUCCUAUAGGCCGUGGUCAACGAGAACUUCUAAUCGGGGACCGACAAACUGGAAAAACGACUAUUGCUAUCGAUACCAUAUUAAACCAAAAGCAAAUAAACUCAAGGGCCACCUCUGAGAGUGAGACAAUGUAUUGUGUCUAUGUAGCGAUUGGACAGAAACGCUCGACUGUGGGACAAUUAAUUCAAACUCUUGAAGAAGCGAAUGCUUUGGAAUAUUCCAUUCUUGUAGCAGCCACCGCUUCGGAUCCUGCUCCUCUGCAAUUUUUGGCCCCAUAUUCCGGGUGUGCCAUGGGGGAAUAUUUCCGCGAUAAUGGAAUGCACGCAUUAAUAAUCUAUGAUGAUCUUAGUAAACAGGCGGUGGCAUAUCGACAAAUGUCAUUAUUGUUACGCCGACCACCAGGCCGUGAGGCUUUCCCAGGUGAUGUUUUCUAUUUACAUUCCCGUCUCUUAGAAAGAGCGGCUAAACGAUCGGACCAGACAGGUGCAGGUAGCUUGACCGCCUUACCCGUCAUUGAAACACAAGCUGGAGACGUAUCGGCCUAUAUUCCCACCAAUGUGAUCUCCAUUACUGAUGGACAAAUCUGUUUGGAAACAGAGCUCUUUUAUCGCGGAAUUAGACCUGCUAUUAACGUCGGCUUAUCUGUCAGUCGCGUCGGGUCUGCCGCUCAGUUGAAAGCUAUGAAACAAGUAUGCGGUAGUUCAAAACUGGAAUUGGCACAAUAUCGCGAAGUGGCCGCCUUUGCUCAAUUUGGCUCAGACCUUGAUGCUGCGACUCAGGCAUUACUCAAUAGAGGUGCAAGGCUGACAGAAGUACCGAAACAACCACAAUAUGCACCACUUCCAAUUGAAAAACAAAUACUAGUCAUUUAUGCAGCUGUCAAUGGAUUCUGUGAUCGAAUGCCACUAGACAGAAUCUCUCAAUAUGAGAAAGCCAUUCCAAAUAGUGUCAAACCUGAAUUACUACAAGCCCUUAAAGGUGGAUUAACUAACGAAAGAAAAAUGGAACCAGAUGCUUUCUUAAAAGAAAGAGCUUUAGCUUUAAUUUAGCUUUCAUCACAUUAGGAAUCCUCAAUCAGUAAGAAAGAAAAGUUGUUAAGCAAAGACUGGAGAGGCCCCCGGUCGAGAUGUAGUAAGUAGGUCUCCAAUACUGGGAGACUGAGGAGAAUGGGAGUUUGUGGGUUGAGGGUGGCAUGCUCCCCAGGGCCCUCUUUUUUUUAGAUAGGUAGGGUAAUGCAUUUCAGUAUGAAUUUGAUCUAGCAGUGUAAACCUGAGAUUUUCAAGAGUUGGCCUUAUAAUUACAUGUGUACAGGUCUAGGAACCAUACACCCUAGAAAGAAAGGGAUAUCGGUGUGUUGCAAAGCCCUACCCAAGCAAAGUAAGAGUUGACUAUUUUUCGCCCAAGGAAUACUUCACUUUCUCAUUCCAGCACACUCCUGGGUAAUCUGAGGAAUGUAGAAGUAAGUUAUGCAGCACAAGCACAACCCUGCUUUUCCAUUCCUUCAUAGCCCACCUCUUCAUUGGCCAUAAAGCCUUGAUUUCCUUGGACCACGUACACUGAUGAUUGGUCGGGCUGGGCUACUCUAUGGGCGUAUGCGCCUAAACCAGGCUCAAAGCGAUGAGACUUCUCGGUUAGACUCAAACAAUAGAUCAGGUCAGUUUGGAGGAGCUUUAUUUGACUCGGUCUCUAAGAAGAAAGGGCAGCCCUCUGAUAUAUCUUUCGACUUCACCCUCGGCCAAAGCACAGUAAGUUAGAGACUCCUAGUCUCUACUAAAUAAAUCUAUAGCUUCAACACUCUCCUAGCGCAGCAACCUUCUCUCUUUCUCCCUUACUUGCCUCCCAGUCUUGAGCAGCAAUCAUCUUUGCUUAUGCGGACGAAAGUCUUUCCACAGCACUCCGACAGAAGUCUCAUAUGAUGACUCUGUUUACUCAAGAGCCUUCUUUCUCGAUUAAAUGCCUGCCCACUACCCCAAGCAAGCCGCAUAGGUCUUUGUUAGCAGCUAGGCUUCUGUUUCUUUCCAUAAGCGACUUCUCCUGUAGAUGCCCAAAAUAAAGCUUUCGCUCAAGGGAUAUCGCUUCAUUUACUGCGUUAGGGUGGUGCCAAGCCCUUCAUCUCUGGCUAAGGCUCAGUCAGAUAGGCUCAAUAUCGGGCUUAUCCGGCGAAGUCUCAAACUCUGUUGUGCCAGGGAUAUCAGGCUUGAGUUGGGACAGGUGCUUAUUUCGAUACCGCUUCUGUUGUUUUUGUGAUGCUGGUGAUCACAUUUACAGUUAGAAGUAGGCCAUGAUUGAUUAGCUAGAGUAGAGCUAGGUUGGUGCUGCUUUGCUUGGCAAUCCUUGAUCUAAUUGAAUCAGAAUCCGCAAGAUAAGCAGCCAAACGAGCAGAGCAGUAGAAGGACAGGUCAUCUAGAAUCCUAUUCUUCCGAUGCUUUGAUCGGUUCCUUCUGAUAUGGAAGAGUUGACUACCCAGCACAUCUUUGUUUGCUCGACUCGGUAAGUACAGCCGCUUCCUUUAUUCUUUUCUUUGAACCAUUACCCUCAAGGGACUACUCCGUUGGCCCAGUGACCCUUGGUCUUUUGUUGCUGUUCCCCGUUCCCUUUAUCAGCUCUUUACCAGCUAUCCGAUUACCAAUGAACAAUAGCUAUGACCGAUAACCAAGGUUCGUAGAAACUCUAUAAGGAGAGGCAUAGACCGGUGGUCCCUUCCAAGUGCCUCUUUGUUUUGUACGAGCUGUUUCCAAGUGUUUUGAUUAGUCGAGUCUUCUUCUGAGUCCAGCACUUUUCCUUUGUCCGAUCGUCCGUCUCUUCCUCUCCUCUUGGUCGAGUUGCUAAAGCACCUAUCUUUCUUUGUUGCCUCCGGUGUGCUACCGAGCCUUUCCCAGGUAUUUACUUACUGCCGGUUUACUCCACAGCAUUGCCAUCUUCUUUGUUUUGUUGGUAUGAGCUGAUCGGCCCUCUCAAGCGUAAAGUAGUCCUCUGAUUGUGUUGUAUUGGCUCCUUAAGCAACAUUUGUUUACUUAUGACCGGGUGCUGCUUAUGCCUAGACAUCUUCCCCAGGACUUAUUCUCGAAAGACGUUGACCUAUGGUAGGUGCUGAGUCCAGCACAGUUGUUCCUUUGUUACUGUGCCAUUUCGAGACCUUCGUCCGAUCAUUGUUCCUUUGAAGACCUGUCUUUUAUUCCUUCUCUUUCCUUGCAGU
rnacentral:sRNA from 1 species